AAGAAUGCGAUAUGCAAUGUGAAUUGCAGAACCAUGAAUCAUUGGAUCUUUGAACGCAACUGGCGCUGGUAAAACCAGCAUGCUUGUUUCAGUGUGCGCAAACACAUAAACUAAAAAAAUGUGAGAGAAGUUCUCUCAUUAAAUACAUGCUCCCUGCAGCAGUCACAUCUUUUUGUGAGCUACAAGGAUGACUAACUGACUUUUAUGCACCUGAAAUCAAGCAAGAUGACCCGCUGGACUUAA
rnacentral:misc_RNA from 1 species